rnacentral:rRNA from 1 species
GACCUCGGAUCAGGUAGGACCCCCCGCUGAAUUUAAGG